rnacentral:rRNA from 1 species
AUUGAACGCUGGCGGCAGGCUUAACACAUGCAAGUCGAGCGGGGGAAGGUAGCUUGCUACCGGACCUAGCGGCGGACGGGUGAGUAAUGCUUAGGAAUCUGCCUAUUAGUGGGGGACAACAUCUCGAAAGGGAUGCUAAUACCGCAUACGUCCAACGGGAGAAAGCAGGGGAUCUUCGGACCUUGCGCUAAUAGAUGAGCCUAAGUCGGAUUAGCUAGUUGGUGGGGUAAAGGCCUACCAAGGCGACGAUCUGUAGCGGGUCUGAGAGGAUGAUCCGCACACUGGGACUGAGACACGGCCCAGACUCCUACGGGAGGCAGCAGUGGGGAAUAUUGGACAAUGGGCGGAAGCCUGAUCCAGCCAUGCCGCGUGUGUGAAGAAGGCCUUUUGGUUGUAAAGCACUUUAAGCGAGGAGGAGGCUACUAGUAUUAAUACUACUGGAUAGUGGACGUUACUCGCAGAAUAAGCACCGGCUAACUCUGUGCCAGCCGCCGCCGUAA